rnacentral:antisense_RNA from 1 species
GCUGCACACAGGGCCAUGCCCAACCAGCAGGCUCUCAGAGGACUCUUGAGGUGGAAAUGAAAACAGGUACUUUGUUAACCAGUGGAAGUACAAAGAUGAAUAAACCAUACUCCUCCCCUCAAGACAACUCUUUCAUGAGGGAGAUAACCCAGGAAAUAGGAGUCUAUUCAUGAGACUGCUGCUCUAACUAGAAGAAUAGGAAGUACCAGAAGGUCACAAAAGAAGAACUGAUUAGCUCAACCUGAGAAAGUCUCCCAAAGCUUCACAGAGGAAGGAAUGCUGAAGUGGGGAUGAAGAGGAGUUGAUCAGAAAAAAAAGACAGUCUCUGUCACCCAGGUUGGAGUACAGUGGCAUGCUCACUGCUCACUGCAGCCUCAACUUCCCAAACUCAAGUGAUUCUCUCACCUCAGCCUCGUAGCUGGGAUUACAGGGUUCUGUCAAAGCAGAUGACUCCCAAAGGUUUCAUAAAUCUUCCUGAAAAUAAGCUCCUUCAGCUAUAUAAUCAUGGCACCCACGGCUUAAAAGUUGAUAGUGAGAACAGCAUUGAACAGCCUGCUGCAUUCAGCAAAAGAUGGGAGAGAAAUGAGUUCAAUCAGUAGACUCCCACGACCCCUUCCAGUGGCGCAAUCAUCUCUUCCAAGAAGUGCAGCUACUUAUUUGCAAUAAGCGACAACACACAAGAAACCACAAAGAAUCUGCAGACGCGAGACUCCCUGACCUGUGGAUACACAGCCAUCUCCAAUAAGUCUACAUUUAAACUAAAACUUCUCCUGUUGAGCAACCAUAAUGUGGAAUUAUGUUAGCAAGACCUUAUGCAUUCCCACAAAUUUUCUCCCAAUAAAAAAACU